AUACGGAGGGUGCAAGCGUUAUUCGGAAUCACUGGGCGUAAAGGGUGCGGAGGCGGUUUGAUAAGUCUGAUGUGAAAUCCUAUGGCUCAACCAUAGAACUGCAUUGGAAACUGUCAGACUAGAAUACUGAAGGGGCAGAUGGAAUUAGUGGUGUAGGGGUAAGAUCCGUAGAUAUCACUAGGAAUACCGAAAGCGAAAGCGAUCUGCUGGGAAGUUAUUGACGCUGAGGCACGAAAGCGUGGGGAGCAAACGGGAGUAGAUACCCCAGUAGUCC
rnacentral:rRNA from 1 species